GUAGGGUUUAACCCAUCACAUGAAACCCCUCAGUUGAAAUUUUUAUCUGGAACUCUCAGGUCAGACCGAACAAGUCUGAAAGUUUCUGAAUAAAAAUUUACAAAACAAAAUUAUAUCCAGUAUAAUCACAUUUCGAACCCUUUCAUUUCUUUAUCCGUGAAGUUUAGCAUCAAAACUAUAAGAAUGUGCUACGGAUUUGGCUGUGGACCUUACGGUUAUGGCUGCGCGGGUGCCUGCGGACCCUAUUGCGGGCCCUGGUGUGGCCCCUGCGCCCUGUCCCUGGGUCCUUGCGGCUACGGAUGCAGUCCCAAGGGCUGCGGGCCGUCGGGUCCUGCAUGUUGGCCCUACGGCCUGUACACCUGUUAAACUUCAGAAAGAUUUUAAGAAGCCGACAACGCCCGGAGCAGUCAAAUGAAUUCCAGGUGGUGGGUCCGUGAAACAGUUGGAUAAAAUAAAAUUUCAUCAUGGAAAUAUAUCUCCGUUGUAACGACUAAUAAAAGCUAUAUAACAAAAAUU